AAAAGGGCGGGAGGUGACAGGAAGGCGAGGGCCCGUUGGCCUGAAGCUGCAUCGUGAAGGAGGAUGAGGAGUUAAAGUAUCUGUGGGAUUUCUUAAGUCUUCAGUAAAGAUCUUCAGUGAGAUACCACAGGAGUUGGGAUAUUGGCAGCCUCCAAAGUCUGUAAAGGGGUCAGGAGCGCAUCUGUUACAACAUUUGUCCCUACACAGAGAGUCGGUGAAGACAGCUGAAUCCCUUACGUCAUAUUUUUGUGCUCUAAAAUGCUCAUUAAAUAUUAAUCCAUUUCUAUGGAUUUCAAUUUGAACCAGAUUCCAAGUAGUAGUGAUUGAAAAUUAAAAUUACUCUUUACCCCCCCUUUUUAUUUUUUCUACCCUUAUAAUCAAAUAAUUCAGGAGUAGGAAAGCCCUGUUGGUUUUCACAUCCUUUCCUCAGCAAGAGUGGAUUCCUUUUCUUCUGGAUUGCUUUUUAUUGGUUAGUGGAAAUUCUGAAAAACAUCUUCAUUAUUAAUCUUAAAUUUACUUAUCGAAAGAAAUAAGCUUAAUCUUACCUUGGUAAGUUUCCUCUUUCAAUGAUGUAAAUGUUUCAGUGAUGUAAAAUUCCAUUUUAUGAUGAUAGAUUUAAUAAACCUUU